GGCCGCGUCGACUUAAGCGCCAGUAAACGGCGUUGGUAACUAUAACCAUCCUAAGGUAGCGAAAUUCCUUGUCGGGUAAGUUCCGACCUGCACGAAUGGCGUAACGACUUCUCCACUGUCUCAACCACGAACUCGGCGAAAUUGCACUACGAGUAAAGAUGCUCGUUACGCGCAGCAGGACGGAAAGACCCCGGGACUUUACUACAGCUUGGUAUUGGUGUUCGGUACGGCUUGUGUAGGAUAGGUGGGAGACUGUGAAGCAUGCACGCCAGUGUGUGUGGAGUCAACGUUGAAAUACCACUCUGGUCGUUCUGGAUAUCUAACCUCGGUCCGUGAUCCGGAUCAGGGACAGUGCCUGGUGGGUAGUUUAACUGGGGCGGUCUCC
rnacentral:rRNA from 1 species